rnacentral:rRNA from 1 species
AGAACGAACGCUGGCGGCAUGCCUAACACAUGCAAGUCGAACGAGACCUUCGGGUCUAGUGGCGCACGGGUGCGUAACGCGUGGGAAUCUGCCCUUAGGUACGGAAUAACAGUGAGAAAUUACUGCUAAUACCGUAUGAUGUCUUCGGACCAAAGAUUUAUCGCCUAGGGAUGAGCCCGCGUUGGAUUAGCUAGUUGGUGGGGUAAAGGCCUACCAAGGCGACGAUCCAUAGCCGGUCUGAGAGGAUGAUCAGCCACACUGGGACUGAGACACGGCCCAGACUCCUACGGGAGGCAGCAGUGGGGAAUAUUGGACAAUGGGCGAAAGCCUGAUCCAGCAAUGCCGCGUGAGUGAAGAAGGCCUUCGGGUUGUAAAGCUCUUUUACCCGGGAAGAUAAUGACUGUACCGGGAGAAUAAGCCCGGCUACUCCGCGCCAGCAGCCGC